rnacentral:rRNA from 1 species
UACGUAGGGUGCAAGCGUUGUCCGGAAUUAUUGGGCGUAAAGAGCUUGUAGCGGUCUGUCGCGUCUGCUGUGAAAACUCGGGGCUUAACCCCGGGCCUGCAGUGGGUACGGGCAGACUAGAGUGCGGUAGGGGAGACUGGAAUUCCUGGUGUAGCGGUGAAAUGCGCAGAUAUCAGGAGGAACACCAAUGGCGAAGGCAGCUCACUGGGACGGUAUUGACGCUGAGACGCGAAAGCGUGGGGAGCAAACAGG